rnacentral:lncRNA from 1 species
GGUAGGCUGAGGCGGGAGGAUCACUUGAGCCCAGGAGGUAGAGGCUGCAGUGAGCUGAGAUCUCACCACUUCAGAAUUCAGUAACGCGCAGCGCCCCCAUCAACAGUGACAGCCAGGGCCGGUGUGGCACGCGUUUCCUCACCACCUACGACCGGCGCUUUGUCAUCAAGACUGUGUCCAGCGAGGACGUGGCGGAGAUGCACAACAUCUUAAAGAAAUACCACCAGGUAUGGUGAGUCCCAAGCCUGGGCUGCAGAGGAUGGGUUGGAAGAGGGAGAAGA